CCUACGGGAGGCAGCAGUGGGGGAUAUUGCACAAUGGGGGGAACCCUGAUGCAGCGACGCCGCGUGGGUGAAGAAGCGCCUCGGCGCGUAAAGCCCUGUCAGCAGGGAAGAAAAUGACGGUACCUGAAGAAGAAGCCCCGGCUAACUACGUGCCAGCAGCCGCGGUUAUACGUAGGGGGCAAGCGUUAUCCGGCUUUACUGGGUGUAGAGGGGGCGCAGACGGCGAUGCAAGCCAGGAGUGAAAGCCCGGGGCCCAACCCCGGGACUGCUCUUGGAACUGCGUGGCUGGAGUGCAGGAGGGGCAGGCGGAAUUCCUGGUGUAGCGGUGAAAUGCGUAGAUAUCAGGAGGAACACCGGUGGCGAAGGCGGCCUGCUGGACUGCAACUGACGUUGAGGCCCGAAAGCGUGGGGAGCAAACAGGAUUAGAUACCCUAGUAGUC
rnacentral:rRNA from 1 species